rnacentral:rRNA from 1 species
CCUACGGGUGGCAGCAGUGGGGAAUAUUGGACAAUGGGGGCAACCCUGAUCCAGCGAUGCCGCGUGUGUGAAGAAGGCCUUCGGGUUGUAAAGCACUUUAGUUGGGGACGAAGUUUAUCAAUUGAUAAGGUUGAUAAGUUGACGGUACCCAAAGAAUAAGCACCGGCUAACUCUGUGCCAGCAGCCGCGGUAAUACAGAGGGUGCAAGCGUUAAUCGGAGUGACUGGGCGUAAAGGGCGCGUAGGCGGUGCGACAAGUGAGAUGUGAAAUCCCUGGGCUUAACCUAGGAAUAGCAUUUUAGACUGUCGGACUGGAGUACAGUAGAGGGUGGUGGAAUUUCCGGUGUAGCGGUGAAAUGCGUAGAGAUCGGAAGGAACAUCAGUGGCGAAGGCGGCCACCUGGACUGGUACUGACGCUGAGGCGCGAGAGCGUGGGGAGCA